UGCAACAAGGCUCUUUCCAUUAAGUAAGACAGAAAUGGCAAUUAUGCAGUCUGUUGAUCGGAUUUUUUACUAAUGAAGUGUACUUUCUGCUAAUGGAUGGGAAAGCAAAGCAGCGAAGUCAAACAAGUCACCUUGAUAGUAUAAUGCAAGACCCAUCAAUUUUGCAGACAUUCUUCAGUAAUGAAUCCUGGAGCACAACCCAUCAACAUUUCUCCUGAAAGACAACAACUGAGACUUUAAAAGGAGAGAGCAAUCUGAUAGAGCACCCACUGAGAAGAAAUCAAAGGCUCUUGUUGACUUCAGUGACUGUUAGAGACAGCUCCUAAAUGGGAUGACUCAAAGUGCAGCUCUAGCCUGGAGGCAGCUAUACAGAUGGUGUUGUGGGGCUUUAUUGUCUCAUUGCUUCUGGCUCCAAUCUGUGCAGUUUGUGAGUAUAAUUAUUAUUUUCUUGUUGCCAGCCCAAUAAAUAUGAUGCUGAAUAGGCGAGUUGAGUUCUGCCUGCCUGAAAUUUUAAGCAGUAAAAACAAUCCUACAAUCACUAUUCACAUUAUCACCUAAGUGCUGCCAAAUUCAAGGAAAGGAAAGAAAAGCUAUCAAUCAAGAGCAAGAAUGGAUCUUGGAUACAGUUCUCAUUUUCCUUAAAAGAGCCACAGUCAUUAAGUCCACUCAAGAAGAGUAUACACAGGAUCUGCAAGGCAGCAUUUCUGUUAGUGACUGAACCAUGUAAAGGACAAAGCAACAGGCAAGCCAUUUUGAAGGCCACUGUCCCAGGACAGGCAGUCUCCUCAUUGCCUGUUGUGAUAUCUACAGGCAGUACAGGAGUGGGAUGGCAGGGAUCAUGCUUGUUUCAGGAUCAGUUUAACAGUUAUACAGUACAGGCGACUGAGGGCAAAUGUGUUGGCCCACAUUCUGAUACAGUUCUAGCAUUCCUAUAAAAGCAAAGUACAUUAGUGCACAUCUUCCAUCCAUCCAGCACAAAAACAGACAUAGAUUACUGACUGGAAGUAAGAAAUAUCUGAGUGAAAUUUUCUCUGUAAUGCUGAGAUUAGUC
ensembl:lncRNA